rnacentral:rRNA from 1 species
UGGCGGCGUGCCUCAGACAUGCAAGUCGAACGCGAAAGUCCCCUUCGGGGGAUGAGUAGAGUGGCGCACGGGUGAGUAACACGUAGGUAAUCUACCUUCGGGUGGGGAAUAACCCAGGGAAACUUGGGCUAACACCGCAUAAUGCAGCGGCACCACAUGGUGACAGUUGUUAAAGCGGGGGAUUUUAGGACCUCGCGCCUGAAGAGGAGCCUGCGGCAGAUUAGCUUGUUGGUAAGGUAACGGCUUACCAAGGCGACGAUCUGUAGCCGGCCUGAGAGGGCGGUCGGCCACACUGACACUGACAUACGGGUCAGACUCCUACGGGAGGCAGCAGUCGGGAAUUUUGGGCAAUGGGCGAAAGCCUGACCCAGCAACGCCGCGUGAAGGAUGAAAUCCCUCGGGAUGUAAACUUCGCAAGAAUGGGAAGAAUUAGUAGGGGUUAAUACCCCCUAUGAUGACGGUACCAUUUGUAAGCUCCGGCUAACUCCGUGCCAGCAGCCGCGGUAAUACGGGGGGAGCAAGCGUUGUUCGGAUUUACUGGGCGUAAAGGGCGCGUAGGCGGUCAGCACAAGUCAGUUGUGAAAUCUCCGGGCUUAACUCGGAAAGGUCAACUGAUACUGUGCGACUAGAGUGCGGAAGGGGCAACUGGAAUUCUCGGUGUAGCGGUGAAAUGCGUAGAUAUCGAGAGGAACACCUGCGGCGAAGGCGGGUUGCUGGGCCGACACUGACGCUGAUGCGCGAAAGCCAGGGGAGCGA